rnacentral:rRNA from 1 species
GCGAGAAAACUUUGCAAUGUGCGAAAGCACGACAAGGUUAAUCCGAGUGGUUUCUGCUAAAGAAACCUUUUGUCAGUCCUAGAAACACUAACGAAUAAGGGGUGGGCAAGUUCUGGUGUCAGCCGCCGCGGUAAAACCAGCACCUCAAGUGGUCAGGAUGAUUAUUGGGCCUAAAGCAUCCGUAGCUCGUUUUGUAAGUUUUCGGUUAAAUCCAUACGCUUAACGUAUGGGCUGCCGGGAAUACUGCAUAACUAGGAAGUGGGAGAGGUAGACGGUACUCGGUAGGAAGGGGUAAAAUCCUUUGAUCUAUUGAUGACCACCUGUGGCGAAGGCGGUCUACCAGAACACGUUCGACGGUGAGGGAUGAAAGCUGGGGGAGCAAACCGGAUUAGAUACCCGGGUAGUCCCUGAGCGGGCUGGCAAGGCGCAU